rnacentral:rRNA from 1 species
UACGGGGGGGGCAAGCGUUGUUCGGAAUUACUGGGCGUAAAGGGCUCGUAGGCGGCCAACUAAGUCAGACGUGAAAUCCCUCGGCUUAGCCGGGGAACUGCAUCUGAUACUGGAUGGCUUGAGUUCGGGAGAGGGAUGCGGAAUUCCAGGUGUAGCGGUGAAAUGCGUAGAUAUCUGGAGGAACACCGGUGGCGAAAGCGGCAUCCUGGACCGACACUGACGCUGAGGAGCGAAAGCCAGGGGAGCAAACGGG